GUGUUAUAUGAAAGGAAAGAGGGUCAGCAGUCCCCUUGAUAAGGAUGGAAGAGGCCCUGGGGCCUGACAACUCACAAACAGGUAAGGCAUCGCUAUCUGCUACCAAAGUAUUCUA
ensembl:snRNA